GUGUCGUCGCUAACGCUUUAAGUUACCCGCCUGGGGAGUACGGCCGCAAGGUUAAAACUCAAAGGAAUUGACGGGGACCCGCACAAGCGGUGGAUUAUGUGGAUUAAUUCGAUGCAACGCGAAAAACCUUACCUACCCUUGACAUGUGCGGAAGGGGGUAGAGAUACCUCGGUGCCCGAAAGGGAACCGCAACACAGGUGCUGCAUGGCUGUCGUCAGCUCGUGUCGUGAGAUGUUGGGUUAAGUCCCGCAACGAGCGCAACCCUUGCCAUUAGUUGCUACAUUCAGUUGGGCACUCUAAUGGGACUGCCGGUGACAAACCGGAGGAAGGUGGGGAUGACGUCCCACAGACUAUAC
rnacentral:misc_RNA from 1 species